rnacentral:tmRNA from 1 species
GGGGGUGAUUUUUGGCUUCGACCGGAAGCGUGAAUUCCAAGGCGCAUGUCGAGGUACAGUGCCUCGUAAAACAGCUGUAAAAAAAUAGUCGCAAACGACGAAACCUUCGCUCUCGCAGCUUAAUAACCUGCUGAAAGCCCUCGAUUCCAAGCCUUUCUAGUGACGCUUGGUCAUAUCGGGGUCGGUUCUUCACUAGAUCGUGUGGAAUCUCCGUCUGAGGAGGAAGCAUUAAAUCUUUUAUCAGACUGGACAGAAGGUGGCGUGGCGAUCCGCAGCCCCUGUCGAGAUUAAAGAUUGCCUAAACAUGUAGUGCUGAAGAUGAAGCCUUUUGGGACGAGGGUUCGACUCCCUCCACCUCCACCA